CCUACGGGAGGCAGCAGUGAGGAAUAUUGGUCAAUGGGCGAGAGCCUGAACCAGCCAAGUCGCGUGAGGGAGUACUGCACUAUGGGUUGUAAACCUCUUUUGUCGGGGAGCAAAAGCCGGACGUGUUCGGCUGUGAGAGUACCCGGAGAAAAAGCAUCGGCUAACUCCGUGCCAGCAGCCGCGGUAAAACGGGGGAUGCGAGCGUUAUCCGGAUUUAUUGGGUUUAAAGGGUGCGCAGGCGGGUUUUUAAGGCCGCGGUAAAAGCGUGGGGCUCAACCCCAUCCAGCCGUUGAAACUGGGGGUCUAGAGUGUGCGAGAGGUAUGCGGAAUGCGCGGUGUAGCGGUGAAAUGCAUAGAUAUCGCGCAGAACCCCGAUUGCGAAGGCAGCAUACCGGUGCACAACUGACGCUCAGGCACGAAAGCGUGGGUAUCGAACAGGAUUAGAUACCCGUGUAGUC
rnacentral:rRNA from 1 species